ACCGGACAAGGGAGCCAGGCGCAGGGUGGGCCCGGCGCAGGAGCCUUUUCUCCCAUGUUGACCGCACCAUCGCCUCAACUGACGCCCACCAUCUCCGGGCUCCCGGCCAGGUGCGCGCCUCGGCCUCCCCGACUCCUCCUUUCUUCUCUCUCUCGCCUCCGGCCACGGGCAGGAACCGAUCUCGGAGCCCUCCCCGUCGCGGCGUUGUUCGUUGGCGGUUCGGUUGCCGCUUGAUCGGGCAAGAAGAAGAAGAAGAAGAAGAGGGGAGCCGGGAGCCGAAAUGGUGAAGGACAGUGCGUACUACGACAUCCUGGAGGUCAGCACUGACGCCUCAGUGGCCCAGAUCAAGAAGGCCUAUUACCUCAAGGCCAAGCUGGUGCACCCAGACAAGAAUCCCGGCAACCCUGACGCGGCACGCAAGUUUCAGGAAUUAGGUGAAGCCUAUCAAGUUCUAAGUGAUCCGGUAAAAAAGGAGUCUUACGACAAGUAUGGAAAGGAAGGUCUUCCCCAAGAUAACAUGAUUGAUCCAACUGCUGUCUUUGGGAUGCUUUUUGGGAGUGAACAUUUUGAAGAUUAUGUCGGUCAACUUGCACUAGCAUCCGUUGCUUCGGUAGAGAUUGAGGAGGAAUCAACUACACCUGAGGCAAGGACAAGGGUUCAAGAGAAGAUAAAGGACGUGCAAACUGAAAGAGAGCAAAAACUUACUCAGAUUCUAAAGGAGCGGCUCCAGCUGUAUGUUGAUGGGAACCAAGACGAGUUUGGUGACUGGGCAAAUGCAGAAGCUCAGCGUUUGUCUCAAGCUGCUUUCGGUGAGGCUAUGCUUCACACUAUCGGCCAUAUUUAUGUUCGACAAGCAGCAAGAGAGCUUGGAAAAAGCAAACUGUAUAUGGGUGUACCAUUCAUAGCUGAGUGGGUAAGGGAUAAGGGCCACCAUGUAAAAUCGCAGGUUAAUGCUGCUGCAGGUGCAAUUUCUCUGAUACAGCUACAAGAAGGGAUGAAAAAGAUCGAGGAGGGUGACAACAAGGAAGAGCAGCUUAUCAAGACUAUUGAAGAGAAAAAAGAUGCAAUGCUCAAUUCUUUGUGGAAAAUUAAUGUGGUUGACAUUGAGUCAACACUUUCACAUGUCUGCCAAGCAGUUUUGAAAGAAAAUGACAUUCCCAGAGAUGUGCUGAAGUUGAGAGCAAGAGGGUUGAAAAAGCUGGGGUCAAUCUUUCAAGGCGCGAAGUCACACUACCGGCGCGAAAACAGCCUGCGGGUCGAAGAAGGCACGACAGAGGCGGCGCCGUCGCCGUCGCCGUCGCAGUGAGGACCCGGUUGCGGAUAACUCUGCCACCGCUCCCCAAGACAGCAACAUCCCCCAACGCCGACCACUGGAGCCAGACACUGUCCUCUGUCUGAAGACUGGUAUACUGUAUGAAUGCAAGCCUGAUUCAGAGUCAGACACCAAGAGCAGUACAGCAACGUGAGCAGCUCCACUUUGUCUCUUUUUUUUGAAGCCUCUCAUCUGGAUAAAGCUGUAGCAUCUAUUCGUAUACAAACACACACCUACACCACACACACGCACACCUCACACACCACAAGUAUACAACCAGACCUACAACUAUACACAGAUAUCAAGACGCGUCUUUGAAGAGAUCACUAGAGUCAUCGAGGCUCCGGCGAUGGGCGCAUCGCAGUCCCUUUGUGGCUCCACGCGUUGAGAGGUUCAUCUGAGAUUAUUUAGGGAUUCUACUAUUCCCGGGUGCGAAAUCCGCAUCGAGCGGCGCUCGAACGCGGGCGGACGGCGGGCGCUCCACCGAGCGGACCCAGCCAACCGAGCUGCGGCUCGUUCGC